CUGAAAACAUACAGUGGCAAAGUUUGCAAAGCCCAUCAAGGAUCUCUCUGAAAUGGCUGUCCAUUGGAGGCAGAACCUUCAACUCUAUCUUCUUGAAGUCAUCUGGGCACUCAUCCUUCAGAAUAUGGACCAGAUCAGCAUGAUGUCAAAGAUGGCAUCACAGACUAAUUAAUAGGGAGAGAUGUACCCUUGCUUGAGCCAGCUGUCAGCCAUUGCGUUGACAGUGCCCAUCUCAACAGUGAACUGUGAGAGAGAUUUCUCUGCAACGAAUAGAGUAAAGACAGACCUUAAAACAUCCAGGAAAAUCAAGUGCAAGCAGGAUGCAAAAUUUGCAAAUAGAUCUUUGUUGUGGUUGUUCUUGGAAAAAAAUUAAUGUUGUUAAAAAAAAAUGUUAUUUGUCAUGAUACGAAAAAAUUUUGCUGCGGCACGCUUUCCGACUCCGAUGCAGCCCACCACCACCGCAGCUUCAAAAAAUCCUGGGGGAAACCCUGCGCAAUGUUACUGGUCGCAUAUGUGCAAGUAGAUGAAAAAAAAUAUGAAAAAAAAAAUACUUGCACUGGCUCUAAUAUUAGUCGCAAAAUGCGACCAUUUGGUCACAGUGGAACCCUGUACAACCAUCGCGCAUCAACAAAAUCCCCAGUCUACCCACCUGCCGCUCAUCCCCUAAUUUUGUAUCGAAGUGCAUCCGAAACAUUUGUGCUAACAAGUGAACAUUUAACCAUGUCAGUCGACAUGUUUAUAUUUUUAAUGUCUGUCUUGUAUUUUGUCUAAGAAGCAAGGAACGCAAUUUUGAUUCUUUUAUAUGGCAAUGUACAUGUGGAGAAUUGACAACUAAACUAUUGAAACUUGAAAAGUGUGUGCAUGUUAGCAAUCUUUGUAAAGAGUACAGGCAUUCAAGUUCUACAAUCUGGUAAAUGCUUGUAUGUAAAUAACAUCGUUUUUCUUCUUUUCCUGUCAGCUUUUCCCUUCAGGGGUCGCCACAGCGAAUCAGUUGUCUCCAUCUAACCCUGUCCUCUGCAUCCUUCGCUCUUACACCAACUACCUUCAUGACCUCUUUAACUACUAGAGGUGUGCAAAAUUUCCGAUUCUUAGAUUAUUCGCCCGUGGAUUCGGCCGUGGAAGAUUCGAGAACGAUUCACAAACAUCCAAAUUCCGAUUAUUGAAAUAUGCCAAGUAAAGCGGAAGUACAACACACUCAGCGCGCCGCGCGGUCUUCGGGACAAUGAGGAACCGAGCGAGAUGCUUCUCAUUACCCGGCCCCUCGGCUAAUGCCAAUGCUCAACUCACGGCUCUAGCUCAACUCAUGCCACGAGAUAAAAAAAACACAACAACAUACCUGACUGCUGCCGAAAAGCUGCUACAAAGUACAUCCACAUAAUGUUACGGUAGAUAUAAUUUAUAUAGGACUAGAUGCAAUAUAGAUUCGGUAGCGUUAGCAGCACAUCUACAAAAAGCUAGAUGCGGCCGUUAGUAAACUGCCGCCAUCUUAUAGCAGUACACUUACCUGCAAGGCUGUUGUAGCGAACCUUCCAAGCAAACCUAAUUAACUUUUUAUCUAAAAUACUCCUAAAUCGGUAAAAUAUUGACUUGAAUCUAUCUUUAAAAUAGUUUUAAAACUUUCACAUGUCGAAAGUAGACAAAAGGGAAAUUAUGGAAUAACGGGAGCAAUUUUAACAACUUUAACGGUUGAUUCAAAACAUUAAAUUAAUUGAAUGUAGUUUAAAGCUGCUGAUACAGAAUGGGGACUGGAGUUUUUUAUUUACUGUUAUUUUUGUAUAUUUUUUUUACUGCUAUAUGUUAACUUGAUACUGAAAUAGUAGUUUGGUUUAGCCUGAGAGUAUUUUUGAACAAUUUUGGAACUAAUGUACAAAACAUUAAAAAAAAAAAUUUUUUUUUAAAGGAGGGGGGUGCAUCAAUAAUCGUUUUAUAAUCGAAUCGGAGCCUCUGAAUCGUAAUCGUAAUCGAAUCGUUAGGUGCCCAAAGAUUCCCAGCUCUAUUAACUACAUCCACAAACCUCCUCUUUGGUCUUCCUCUAGACCUCCUGCCUGGCAUAAAGAAAUUCAGCAGCCUUUUGCCAAUAUACUCACUAUCUUGCACUUUUAUUUAUUUAAUUUUCAAUGAUCUCUGUAUUUUUUCCUAAGCGGAUUUUUCUUUGUGUGUGUGUUUGACCAGUUCUCACCGGUUGUCAAGAGCGGAAUAAACCCUGUUUUUUCAUCAAACUUUGCUCAUUGCAACAUCCGGAGGGAGCUUCAGAAAUAUUACUUAGGGGUAGGCAUGUGCCGGUAUGAGAUUUUGACGGUACGAUAACCGUGAGCAACAAUACCGCGGUUUCACGGUAUCACGGUAUUGCAAAUACAGCUCCAAAAUUUUGAGAUG